CCUACGGGUGGCAGCAGUCGAGAAUCAUUCACAAUGGGGGAAACCCUGAUGGUGCGACGCCGCGUGGGGGAAUGAAGGUCUUCGGAUUGUAAACCCCUGUCAUGUGGGAGCAAAUUAAAAAGAUAGUACCACAAGAGGAAGAGACGGCUAACUCUGUGCCAGCAGCCGCGGUAAUACAGAGGUCUCAAGCGUUGUUCGGAAUCACUGGGCGUAAAGCGUGCGUAGGCUGUUUCGUAAGUCGUGUGUGAAAGGCGCGGGCUCAACCCGCGGACGGCAGAUGAUACUGCGAGACUAGAGUAAGGGAGGGGGAACCGGAAUUCUCGGUGUAGCAGUGAAAUGCGUAGAUAUCGAGAGGAACACUCGUGGCGAAGGCGGGUUCCUGGACAUUAACUGACGCUGAGGCACGAAGGCCAGGGGAGCGAAAGGGAUUAGAUACCCUAGUAGUC
rnacentral:rRNA from 1 species